GAAAUGCGAUAAGUAGUGUGAAUUGCAGAAUUCAGUGAAUCAUCGAAUCUUUGAACGCACAUUGCGCCCUUUGGUAUUCCUUAGGGCAUGCCUGUUUGAGUAUCAUGAAAUCUUCAAAGUAAAUCUUUUGUUAACUCAAUUGGUUUCUACUUUGGUAUUGGAGGUCUUUGCAGCUUCACACCUGCUCCUCUUUGUUCAUUAGCUGGAUCUCAGUGUUAUGCUUGGUUCCACUCGGCGUGAUAAGUUAUCUAUCGCUGAGGACACUGUAAAAGGUGGCCAAUGUAAAUGCAGAUGAACCGCUUCUAAUAGUCCAUUGACUUGGACAAUACUUUUAUGAUCUGAUCUCAAAUCAGGUAGGACUACCCGCUGAACUUAAGC
rnacentral:misc_RNA from 1 species